rnacentral:rRNA from 1 species
UACGGGGGGGGCAAGCGUUGUUCGGAAUUACUGGGCGUAAAGGGCGCGUAGGCGGCGCAACAAGUCACUUGUGAAAUCUCCGGGCUUAACCCGGAGCGGUCAAGUGAUACUGUCGUGCUAGAGUGCGGAAGGGGCUACUGGAAUUCUCGGUGUAGCGGUGAAAUGCGUAGAUAUCGAGAGGAACACCGGUGGCGAAGGCGGCCUUCUGGACAGUGACUGACGCUGGAGAACGCGAAAGCGUCGGGGAGCAAACAGG